AGACUACUCUAAAGGAAAGGCACACAAGAAACUGACUGCACAACUAUACGUGUUUUGGCUGGCAGAUCAGAUUCAGUCAUGCUUUUCUUUCUGCUCUUUUCAGGACUCUGCAUGCUUCCCUGCACAUUCAGUGGUAAGUG